rnacentral:rRNA from 1 species
AUUGAACGCUGGCGGCAGGCCUAACACAUGCACGUCGAACGAGUGGCGGACGGGUGAGUAAUGUCUGGGGAACUGCCUGAUAGAGGGGGAUAACUACUGGAAACGGUAGCUAAUACCGCAUACCCUCGGAUGUGCCCAGAUGGGAUUAGCUAGUAGGUGGGGUAAAGGCUCACCAAGGCCACGAUGCCUAGCUGGUCUGAGAGGAUGAUCAGCCACACUGGAACUGAGACACGGCGCAGACUCCUACGGGAGGCAGCAGUGGGGAAUAUUGCACAAUGGGCGCAAGCCUGAUGCAGCCAUGCCGCGUGUAGGAAGAAGGCCUUCGGGUUGUAAAGUACUUUCAGCGGGGAGGCGUUACCCGCAGAAGAAGCACCGGCUAACUCCGUGCCAGCAGCCGCGGUAAUAC